UACAGCUCCUACAUUUGAACUAGCAUUGUGAAACCUCUUGGCUUUAAAUUUAUGGUUUGACUACAGCUCCUACCUUUUUGUUCAUUACCUUAUGAUGUUCCCUGAUUGCACACUUUGCAGGUAUUUCAAAGGUCCUGAGCUCCUUGUUUAUUUACAAGAUUAUGACUAUUCUUUGGAAUUCAUAUAAGGUGUUUAUGUUGGUGUAGAAGAGGACGGAAGCACUGAAGAUGAUGAUGGUUUAGGAGAUGCAUGGAUGGAAAUGUCAAUGGCAUUAGAAUCUUCAAAGGAUGUCGCUGUACAUCCUUUAUCUGAUCGAAGAAAGAAUGAGUGAAGGCUACAGUGAGCAUUCUUUUGUCUUCAGCUGGGACGAGUUGAAGAAGCAACUAGGUGCUUAGCUGACAUACACGAAGUAAACUGGGAUUGCCACUAAAUCAUGAUAUUGUCCAGGUUUAAAGCAUCCAU